UUUGAAAUUUUUAAUAUAGUGAAAAAUUGGAUUUAACUGGAGAGUUUGAGGACAUUUUUAAGUUAUAAAUGCACCAUUUGAAUAAUUUAAUUGGCAUAAUUGGGAUGUACUCUACACAGUUUAUAGGAUUAAAUUAGUGAGUUAGUAAUGUUUGUAUGAAAGAAAUGUUAUUAGAUUCUACCACCAUGAAAUCAGUUAGAAUAGGUAAAGCAUUAAUAAUGGUAGGCUGUAUAUCAUAAUCACUAUAUAAAGAAACAUCAGAAUAUGGAAACCCCUUAAGCAAAAAUAUAUCUUAGAAAUCUUAAGGACACUUAAUGGCAAGCAAAAAAGUUUAAAUUUAGUUUUUUAUAAAUUACAUAUAGCACACUUUAUGUGUACAUGUAGAAUUUUUUAGUUUUUAGUGUUUAUGUAAUAUAUUAGACAAUAAUAAACAUUUACAUUUAUGUUUACAUUUACAUUUAAUUUUUUGAAUUUAAUUUAAAUUUUUUAAUGCUUCUGUGGAUUUAAAAUUUGGAAUAAUCUUUUCUUCCCCAUUGAUACUGGAAUCUUGGGAAGUUUCUUACUCAUAUCACAGUAUGUUUUAUUUAAAUGGGUGCAGCUUACAUUGCAGAGUUUAUAUAAAUAAUCACAUAACUCGCCAAUUCCUUAGUCAUUUUCUGUAUUAAAAAACUCAGAGAUCUAGAGAGCUUUUGGAUUGAAGUAUUUCCUUGGUGAUUUUGAAUGCAAACCUGAUUUCUGUGUUCACACCAUGGCCAGAGAUGGGACUGUUAGCACCACCUGCUUCUUUAAUGUCAUCCAUAUGAUUAGCAUCAGCACCAGAAACUCCAGGUGUCCCAAACUUAAAGUGAAAGCCAUCGAGUUCAUUGGUGACUCCCAUGUUCUGUGCUGGUUCUAGAACAUGCUGGUGAAUAUUAGAGUUUCUAUGCUUAUGGCUGAUAAGUGGACAUUUUUAAAAAUCAUAAAAACUGUAUUUUCUAUAUAGUUCAGCUAAGUUUAAAAAGAUGCAGACUUGGUAUUUGGAGCAUUGUUUUUGCUCCAUGAUGUGUUUAAAAAUUAUUUUUAAAUUGGCAAAAUUAUAUAUAUACAUAUAUAUAUACAUAUAACACAUGAUGUUUGAAAUGCUUGAUUCUAGCUAAUUAAAAACGCUUUACCUCAAUGGUUAUUUUUAUUGUGAGAAUGCUCAACACUGUCUUGGCACUUUAAAAAAAAAUACAAUAUAUUCUCAAUAACUGUAGUCACUCUGCACUACAAUAGGUCUCUUGAACUAAUUCCUCCUAGCUUAACAGGCAUUGUUUAUCAUUUAACAGAUAAUUCUCUAAGCCCCUUUCUCCUAAAACUUCAGCAUCUCUUAACCUUCUUCCUAGUCUCUAAUGAGAUCAACUUGUUUAGAUUCCACAUGAGUGAGACUGUGAGGUAUUCAUCUUUCUGUGUUCUGCUCCAUUGGUCUAUUUAUCUGUUUUUAAUGCCAGUAUUGGACUGUUUUAGUUGCUGUAGCUUUCAGUAUAUUCAACUGUCAAGUAGUACAAUGCUUCCAGCUUUCAGAAUCUUUUGCUCUACUAUAUGAAUUUUAGGUUUUUUUGUUUUUGUGAAAAAAUCUAUUGAUAUUUUAUAGACAUUAUGUUAAAUAUAUACACCAUUUUGUGUAACAUAGACUUUUUAGCAAUAUUAAUUUGGCCAAUUAUAAGGGAUAACUUUUCAUUUAUUUGUGUUUAAUUUUAUACCUCAAUUUUCUUUAGCUUUUAAUAUAGAGAUCUUUAACAUUUUUUAAUAAUUUUAUUGGGAAGUAAACUUUUUGUAACUAUUACAGGUGUCAAUUGUUUUCUUUAUUUCUUUUUCAGAUAGUUUGUUGUUAGUAUAUAGAAAUGCUACUCACUCUUAUAUCUUGAUUUUGUAUCCUGCAACUUUAGUGAAUUUAUUCUAAGUGUUUUUAAAGUUUUCUAUUCAUAAGACUAUGAUAUCUGCAAACAGGGAUAAUUAUUUUCUUUCUUUCCAAUUUGGCUAACUUUGGUUUUGUUCUCUAAUUGCUCUGACUUGGAAAUUCAGUAGCAUGUUAAAUAAGAGUGAUGAAAUUAGGUAUCUUUGCCUUACUAUCGAUCUACUGUCUUUGCCUCUUUAAAAAAAAGCUUACAACUUUUGAAGGUUUAUCAUGAUGUCAGAUAUCCAUUUGUCAUAUAUGGCCUUUAUUGGCUUGAGGUAUGUAUGUUCUAUAUGUAAUUUCUUUUGAGAUUUUGUCAUAAAGUAAUGUUGAAUUUUCUAAAAUUCUUUUUCUGCAUUCACUUAAAAGUUAUAAUUGGUUUUGAGAUCCUUCAUCUUUGUCAGAAUCUAGGAGGAUGCAUCUAUACCUAGAGGAGGACACGAAGGCAUCAUAUGUUACAUUCUCGUGACAUAUAAUGUCUACUGCUGAUAAUGUCUACUGUGAGUUUCUGACUCCCCAAAUGAAAUUGAGGCCCAGAAACUCUCAACUGCUUUGUUCAUUGAAUAAUGCCAAGUGUCUGGAAAUGUGACUGUUCAGAUUAGAUGCUUAAUGUGUGUGUGUAUUGACUAAAUAAAUCUCAACCAGAACCGUCUCAGA